UGGUGCAUGGUUGUCGUCAGCUCCGUGUCGUGAGAUGUUGGGUUAAGUCCCGCAACGAGCGCAACCCUCGACCUUAGUUGCCAGCAUUCAGUUGGGCACUCUAAGGUGACUGCCGGCUAAAAGUCGGAGGAAGGUGGGGAUGACGUCAAAUCAUCAUGCCCCUUAUGACCUGGGCUACACACGUGCUACAAUGGGCGGUACAAAGGGUCGCGAACCCGCGAGGGGGAGCCAAUCCCAAAAAGCCGCUCUCAGUUCGGAUUGCAGGCUGCAACUCGCCUGCAUGAAGCCGGAAUCGCUAGUAAUCGCGGAUCAGCAUGCCGCGGUGAAUACGUUCCCGGGCCUU
rnacentral:rRNA from 1 species